rnacentral:rRNA from 1 species
AAGACCUUUGCGCUUUUGGAGCGGCCGAUGCCUGAUUAGCUUGUUGGUAAGGUAAAAGCUUACCAAGGCUUCGAUCAGUAGCUGGUCUGAGAGGACGACCAGCCACACUGGGACUGAGACACGGCCCAGACUCCUACGGGAGGCAGCAGUGGGGAAUUUUGGACAAUGGGGGCAACCCUGAUCCAGCCAUGCCGCGUGAGUGAAGAAGGCCUUCGGGUUGUAAAGCUCUUUCAGCCGGAACGAAACGGUCACGGCUAAUACCUGUGACUACUGACGGUACCGGAAGAAGAAGCACCGGCUAACUACGUGCCAGCAGCCGCGGUAAUACGUAGGGUGCGAGCGUUAAUCGGAAUUACUGGGCGUAAAGCGUGCGCAGGCGGUUUUGUAAGUCAGAUGUGAAAUCCCCGGGCUUAACCUGGGAACU